rnacentral:rRNA from 1 species
UACGUAGGGGGCAAGCGUUGUCCGGAAUCAUUGGGCGUAAAGAGCGUGUAGGCGGCUCGGUAAGUCCGCUGUGAAAGUCCAGGGCUCAACCCUGGAAUGCCGGUGGAAACUGUCGAGCUCGAGUCCGGAAGAGGCGAGUGGAAUUCCUGGUGUAGCGGUGAAAUGCGCAGAUAUCAGGAGGAACACCAAUGGCGAAGGCAGCUCGCUGGGACGGUACUGACGCUGAGGAGCGAAAGCCAGGGGAGCAAACGGG